GACGAACGCUGGCGGCGUGCUUAACACAUGCAAGUCGAACGGAAAGGCCCUUCGGGGUACUCGAGUGGCGAACGGGUGAGUAACACGUGGGUGAUCUGCCCUGCACUUUGGGAUAAGCCUGGGAAACUGGGUCUAAUACCGAAUAUGACCAUGCACUUCCUGGUGUGUGGUGGAAAGCUUUUGCGGUGUGGGAUGGGCCCGCGGCCUAUCAGCUUGUUGGUGGGGUAAUGGCCUACCAAGGCGACGACGGGUAGCCGGCCUGAGAGGGUGACCGGCCACACUGGGACUGAGAUACGGCCCAGACUCCUACGGGAGGCAGCAGUGGGGAAUAUUGCACAAUGGGCGCAAGCCUGAUGCAGCGACGCCGCGUGAGGGAUGACGGCCUUCGGGUUGUAAACCUCUUUCAGCACAGACGAAGCGCAAGUGACGGUAUGUGCAGAAGAAGGACCGGCCAACUACGUGCCAGCAGCCGCGGUAAUACGUAGGGUCCGAGCGUUGUCCGGAAUUACUGGGCGUAAAGAGCUCGUAGGUGGUUUGUCGCGUUGUACGUGAAAACUCACAGCUUAACUGUGGGCGUGCGGGCGAUACGGGCAGACUUGAGUACUGCAAGGGGAGACUGGAAUUCCUGGUGUAGCGGUGGAAUGCGCAGAUAUCAGGAGGAACACCGGUGGCGAAGGCGGGUCUCUGGGCAGUAACUGACGCUGAGGAGCGAAAGCGUGGGGAGCGAACAGGAUUAGAUACCCUGGUAGUCCACGCCGUAAACGGUGGGUACUAGGUGUGGGUUUCCUUCCUUGGGAUCCGUGCCGUAGCUAACGCAUUAAGUACCCCGCCUGGGGAGUACGGCCGCAAGGCUAAAACUCAAAGAAAUUGACGGGGGCCCGCACAAGCGGCGGAGCAUGUGGAUUAAUUCGAUGCAACGCGAAGAACCUUACCUGGGUUUGACAUGCACAGGACGCCAGUAGAGAUAUUGGUUCCCUUGUGGCCUGUGUGCAGGUGGUGCAUGGCUGUCGUCAGCUCGUGUCGUGAGAUGUUGGGUUAAGUCCCGCAACGAGCGCAACCCUUGUCCUAUGUUGCCAGCGGGUUAUGCCGGGGACUCGUAGGAGACUGCCGGGGUCAACUCGGAGGAAGGUGGGGAUGACGUCAAGUCAUCAUGCCCCUUAUGUCCAGGGCUUCACACAUGCUACAAUGGCCGGUACAAAGGGCUGCGAUGCCGUGAGGUGGAGCGAAUCCUUUCAAAGCCGGUCUCAGUUCGGAUCGGGGUCUGCAACUCGACCCCGUGAAGUCGGAGUCGCUAGUAAUCGCAGAUCAGCAACGCUGCGGUGAAUACGUUCUCGGGCCU
rnacentral:rRNA from 1 species